rnacentral:rRNA from 1 species
GAUGGACCCGCGUCUGAUUAGCCAGUUGGCAGGGUAACGGCCUACCAAAGCGACGAUCAGUAGCCGACCUGAGAGGGUGACCGGCCACAUUGGGACUGAGACACGGCCCAAACUCCUACGGGAGGCAGCAGUGGGGAAUAUUGCACAAUGGGGGAAACCCUGAUGCAGCGACGCCGCGUGAGCGAAGAAGUAUUUCGGUAUGUAAAGCUCUAUCAGCAGGGAAGAAGAAUGACGGUACCUGACUAAGAAGCACCGGCUAAAUACGUGCCAGCAGCCGCGGUAAUACGUAUGGUGCAAGCGUUAUCCGGAUUUACUGGGUGUAAAGGGAGCGCAGGCGGUGCGGCAAGUCUGAUGUGAAAGCCCGGGGCUCAACCCCGGUACUGCAUUGGAAACUGUCGUACUA